rnacentral:misc_RNA from 1 species
AUCCUCAAGCAAUUUUGCUUGGUUAUGGAGGAAGAUGGUCUGUUGACUUUCUCCUCUAGAAUUCCUCAGCAGAGACCACAGCAGCCUCAGGUGUGAUAAUACUACCUCGCUUGAGAGUUAUUGUGGGCUCCCGCUGGUGAGCAGCCCCCAGCUAUUACAAGUUUGACCUCGGAUCAGGUAGGGAUACCCGCUGAACUUAA